rnacentral:misc_RNA from 1 species
GAAAAAUGGAACUAAGGCGCCAGAUCGCUGGGUUGGAGGCAAUGUUACAAAAAGAGAAAGCCAAAUUUGAGGAAUCACUCCAUAAAACUUUGAACGGGGAAGGAAAACAGGGCCAGGGUGCUGUGGACAUUCUUGAGAUCAACUAUCUGCGUAGGAAGUUACUCAUUCAAGCUUAUGUAUGGGACCAGCACUUGAUCCAUGCAGCCAGUUUAGAUAACGGGAACUCUGCUGGCAGCUUUAUUGCAGAAUCUGAAGAGAGACUUGUGGUUGAUAGCGAGAAGCUCUCUGAA